rnacentral:rRNA from 1 species
UACGAAGGGGGCUAGCGUUGCUCGGAAUCACUGGGCGUAAAGGGUGCGUAGGCGGGUCUUUAAGUCAGGGGUGAAAUCCUGGAGCUCAACUCCAGAACUGCCUUCGAUACUGGAGAGCUUGAGUCCGGGAGAGGUGAGUGGAACUGCGAGUGUAGAGGUGAAAUUCGUAGAUAUUCGCAAGAACACCAGCGGCGAAGGCGGCUCACUGGCCCGGUACUGACGCUGAGGUGCGAAAGCGUGGGGAGCAAACAGG